rnacentral:rRNA from 1 species
AGUGAACGCUGGCGGUAGGCCUAACACAUGCAAGUCGAACGGCAGCACAGUAAGAGCUUGCUCUUACGGGUGGCGAGUGGCGGACGGGUGAGGAAUACAUCGGAAUCUACUUUUUCGUGGGGGAUAACGUAGGGAAACUUACGCUAAUACCGCAUACGACCUACGGGUGAAAGCAGGGGAUCUUCGGACCUUGCGCGAUUGAAUGAGCCGAUGUCGGAUUAGCUAGUUGGCGGGGUAAAGGCACACCAAGGCGACGAUCCGUAGCUGGUGUGAGAGGAUGAUCAGCCACACUGGAACUGAGACACGGUCCAGACUCCUACGGGAGGCAGCAGUGGGGAAUAUUGGACAAUGGGCGCAAGCCUGAUCCAUCCAUACCGCGUGGGUGAAGAAGGCCUUCGGGUUGUAAAGCCCUUUUGUUGGGAAAGAAAAGCAGCAGGUUAAUACCCCGCUGUUCUGACGGUACCCAAAGAAUAAGCACCGGCUAACUUCGUG